rnacentral:lncRNA from 1 species
UCGUCCUUCUCUGCCUGCAUCCGGGCUGCUUCCUCCGCUUGCAUCCGGGCCGCAUCCGCCCUCGCCGCCUCGUACUUCCUACGGUCAUUGAUCUCUAUCUUCUUGUCCGCAAGACACUUUUUUGCAUGCUCAUCCAAGAGGGUUUUGUCCGCCAACAUGAUCAUCGCAUCUUCCACGUCCCGUGCGAGUUGCAACCUCUCAUUUCUCAAGCUCUAUGUCACCAAAUGUCUUGGUCUUCUCAAGUUUCCAUUUGAUCGUCGUUUGUUCCUUCUCCAACUCGAUCUUCUCCCUCUCAAUUUCGAGCUUCUUCUCCGUCCUCUUCCAGCCCCACUACAUCCUUUCUUUUUGCGCAUCCAACAUGAGCUUGUACCUCUCCUACUUCUUGUUCUCCCUCACAGAAAAAAUGCAUGUCCAUGUGGACGGCAUUUUGGUAGCCGCGGCAUCACGGACGGCACGUGCCUUCUCCUACUUGUUUCACGUGACUUGGCGGUUAUCCUUUGGCACGGUGGCUUUUUCAUUCGUCAUGACAACAUCACCCUCUUCAUCGUCCAAGCCAAUUGAUUGGUUGGAGCUUGAGCCAUCAUUCCUCUUCUUGCCGGACUUGAGAUCGGCCACAAGUUGGUUCCACUUUAGCUUGCCACUCAAUAUGACCCAACAAUGGCUAAAAGCAAAUGGCUUCUUCUCCACCUCGUGAUACAAAGUGGCCGCAACCACCGUCUAGCAAACAACAUAUGUAUGAGCACGAGAACGCAAACACAAGAAGCAUAUGCAAAUGACGACAAGAUGAAGAAAUUGAGCUUGCGUGAGUUGCGACUCCCAUCCCACUUUAAGGGCGUUUGGUCACUUGUGAGUAGUAGCCGACGUACUUGUUCACUUCCCCUUGAAUGAUCCCCUAACGAUGUUGGAGAGAUGCCACAUUGCGGGUGGUCAUGAUAGGAUGUGGCUUCACAUACUCCUUUUGUUCGUGAUACCCCUUCCAAAUCUUCGUCCAAUACGUGUUCCCCUUUUGCUCGGUGCCACAUAUUGGAUCUAACAUUGUGUCCAACCAAUUUUUGACCAACAAGAUGUCCUCAAAUCUUGAGAAUGUCGGACCUCUUGCCUUCGGCGUCUUGGUCUUCUUCUUCUUGCUCGGAUUGGGAUCGGAUGUUGUCCCAACUUCAAAUGCGGUGGUGGCCUCCAAUUCCUAUUCCAUUUCGAUCGGAUCUUCAUUGUCAUUGAUCAUGUUCGACAAGAACGCCUCCUACACGAUUAUGGUUUACAAGCAUUCAUCAAGUGCGAAAUGUGUUGGGAACGUAGAAUUUCAAAAAAAAAAUCCUACGAUCACGCAAGAUCUAUCUAGGAGAAGCAUAGCAACGAGCGGGGAGAGUGUAUCCACGUACCCUCGUAGACCAAAAGCGGAAGCGUUUAUCAACGCGGUUGAUGUAGUCGUACGUCUUCACGAUCCGACCGAUCCUAGCACCGAACGUACGGCACCUCCGUGUUCAGUACACUUUAGCUCAGUGAUGUCCCUCGUACUCUUGAUCCAGUUUAGGCCGAGGGAGAGUUUCGUCAGCACGACGGCGUGGCGACGAUGAUGAUGAAGUUACCGGCGCAGGGCUUCGCCUAAGCACUACGACGAUAUGACUGAGGUGUGUAACUAUGGAGGGGGGCACCGCACACGGCUAAGAGAAACUUUGAUGUGCUAUUGGGGUGCCCCCUGGCCACAUAUAAAAAGGAGGGAGAUGGAGAGGCAGCCGGCCUUAGGGGGCGCGCCAAGGUGUGGAGUCCUACUAGGACUCCAUAGUCCUAGUAGGAUUCCACCUCCCACACGAAGUAGGAAAGGGGGAAGGGAGAAGGAGAAGGAAAGGGGGGCCUGCCCCCUUCUCCUAGUCCUAUUCGGCCUCCUGCCCAAGGGGGGGCGCACCAGCCCCUUGUGGGCUGGUGUGCUUCCCUCUUAUGGCCCAUAAGGCCCAUAACUUCUUCCGGGGGUUUCCGGUAACCUCCCGGUACUCCGGAAAAAUGCCCGAACCACUCGGAACCAUUCUGAUGUCCAAAUGCAACCUUCCAAUAUAUGAAUCUUUACCUCUCAACCAUUUCGAGACUCCUCGUUAUGUCCGUGAUCUCAUCCGGGACUCCGAACAAGCUUCGGUCAUCAAAUCACAUAACUCAUAAUACAAAUCGCCAUAGAACGUUAAGCGUGCGGACUCUACGGGUUCGAGAACUAUGUAGACAUGACCGAGACACAUCUCCGGUCAAUAACCAAUAGCGAAACCUGGAUGCUCAUAUUGGCUCCUACAUAUUCUACGAAGAUCUUUAUCGAUCAAACCGCAUCACAACAUACGUUGUUCCUUUUGUCAUCGGUAUGUUACUUGCCCGAGAUUCGAUCGUCGGUAUCCUCAUACCUAGUUCAAUCUCGUUACCGGCAAGUCUCUUUACUCGUUCCGUAAUGCAUCAUCCCGUAACUAACUCAUUAGUCACAUUGCUUGCAAGGCUUAUAGUGAUGUGCAUUACCGAGAGGGCCCAGAGAUACCUCUCCGAUACUCGGAGUGACAAAUCCUAAUCUCGAUCUAUGCCAACUCAACAAACACCAUCGGAGACACCUGUAGAGCAUCUUUAUAAUCACCCAGUUACGUUGUGAUGUUUGAUAGCACACAAGGUGUUCCUCCGGUAUUUGGGAGUUGCAUAAUCUCAUAGUCAGAGGAACAUGUAUAAGUCAUGAAGAAAGCAAUAGCAGUAAAACUAAACGAUCAUUAUGCUAAGCUAACAGAUGGGUCUUGUCCAUCACAUCAUUCUCUAAUGAUAUGAUCCCGUUCAUCAAAUGACAACACAUGUCUAUGGUCAGGAAACUUAACCAUCUUUGAUUAACGAGCUAGUCAAGUAGAGGCAUACUAGGGACACUUUGUUUUGUCUAUGUAUUCACACAUGUAUCAAGUUUCUGGUUAAUACAAUUCUAGCAUGAAUAAUAAACAUUUAUCAUGAUAUAAGGAAAUAUAAAUAACAACUUUAUUAUUCCCUCUAGGGCAUAUUUACUUCAGUCUUCCACUUGCACUAGAGUCAAUAAUCUAGUUCACAUCGCCAUGUGAUUUAACACCAAUAGUUCACAUCAUCAUGUGAUUUAACACUCUAUAGUUCACAUCGCCAUGUGACCAAUACCCAAAGGGUUUACUAGAGUCAAUAAUCUAGUUCACAUCUCCAUGUGAUUAACACCCAAAGAGUAAUAAGGUGUGAUCAUGUUUUGCUUGUGAGAGAGGUUUAGUCAAUGGGUCUGCCACAUUCAGAUCCGUAUGUAUUUUGCAAAUUUCUAUGUCUACAAUGCUCUGCACGGAGCUACUCUAGCUAAAUGCUCCCACUUUCAAUAUGUAUCCAGAUCGAGACUCAGAGUCAUCCAGAUCGGUGUCAAAGCUUGCAUCGAUGUAACUCUUUACGACGAACUCUUUAUCACCUCCAUAACCGAGAAAUAUUUCCUUAGUCCUCUAAGGAUAAUUUUGACCAAUGUCCAGUGAUCUACUCCUAGAUCACUAUUGUACUUCCUUGCCAAACUCAGGGCAGGGUAUACAAAUAGGUCUGGUACACAACAUGGCAUACUUUAUAGAACCUAUGGCUGAGGCAUAGGGAAUGACUUUCAUUCGCUCUCUAUCUUCUGCCGUGGUCGGGCUUUGAGUCUUACUCAACUUCACACCUUGCAACACAGGCAAGAACUCCUUCUUUGACUCUUCCAUUUUGAACUACUUCAAAAUCUUAUCAAGGUAUGCACUCAUUGAAAAAACUUAUCAAGCGUCUUGAUCUAUUUCUAUAGAUCUUGAUGCUCAAUAUGUAAGCAGCUUCACCGAGGUCUUUCUUUGAAAAACUCCUUUAUGCUUUCCAAAAAAUUCUACAUUAUUUCGGAUCAACAAUAUGUCAUUCACAUAUACUUAUUAGAAAGGCUGUAGUGCUCCCACUCACUUUUUGUAAAUACAGGCUUCACCGCAAGUCCGUAUAAAACUAUAUGCUUUGAUCAACUCAUCAAAGCGUAUAUUCCAACUCUGAGAUGCUUCCACUAGUCCAUAGAUGGAUUGCUGGAGCUUUGCACACUUUGUUAGCACCUUUAGGAUUGACAAAACCUUCUGGCUGCAUCAUAUACAACUCUUUUUUAAGAAAUCCAUUAAGGAAUGCAGGUUUGACAUCCAUUUGCCAGAUUUCAUAAAAUGCGGCAAUUGCUAACAUGAUUCGGACAGACUUAAGCAUCGAUACGAGUGAGAAAAUCUCAUCGUAGUCAACACCUUGAACUUGUCAAAAAACUUUUUUUUGACAAUUCGAGCUUUGUAGAUAGUAUCACUACCAUCAGCAUCCGUCUUCUUCUUGAAGAUUCAUUCAUUCUUAAUGGCUUGUCGAUCAUCGGGCAAGUCCACCAAAGUCCACACUUUGUUCUCAUACAUGGAUCCUAUCUUAGAUUUCAUGGCCUCAAGCCAUUUCGCGGAAUAUGGGCUCAUCAUCGCUUCCUCAUAGUCGUAGGUUUGUCAUGGUCUAGUAACAUGACUUCCAGAACAGGAUUACCGUACCACUCUGGUGCGGAUCUUACUCUGGUUGACCUACGAGUUUCAGUAGUAACUUGAUCUGAAUUUUCAUGAUCAUCAUCAUUAGCUUCCUCACUAAUUGGUGUAGGAAUCACUGGAACUAUUUUCUGUGAUGAACUACUUUCCAAUUCGGGAGCAGGUAAAAUUACCUCAUCAAGUUCUACUUUCCUCCCACUCACUUCUUUUGAGAGAAACUCCUUCUCUAGAAAGGAUCCAUUCUUAGCAACGAAUAUCUUGCCUUCGAAUCUGUGAUAGAAGGUGUACCCAACAGUUUCCUUUGGGUAUCCUAUGAAGACACAUUUCUCCGAUUUGGGUUCGAGCUUAUCAGGUUGAAGCUUUUUCACAUAAGCAUCGCAGCUCCAAACUUUAAGAAACGACAACUUAGGUUUCUUGCCAAACCACAGUUCAUAUGGUGUCAUCUCAACGGAUUUAGAUGGUGCCCUAUUUAACGUGAAUGCAGUUGUCUCUAAUGCAUAACCCCAAAAUGAUAGUGGUAAAUCGGUAAGAGACAUCAUAGAUCGCACCAUACCUAAUAAAGUACGGUUAUGACGUUCGGACACACCAUUACGCUGUGGUGUUCCAGGUGGCGUGAGUUGCGAAACUAUUCCACAUUGUUUCAAAUGAAGACCAAACUCAUAACUCAAAUAUUCGUCUCCGCGAUCAGAUCGUAGAAACUUUAUUUUCUUGUUAUGAUGAUUUUCCACUUCACUCUGAAAUUCUUUGAACUUUUCAAAUGUUUCAGACUUAUGUUUCAUCAAGUAGAUAUACCCAUAUCUGCUCAAAUCAUCUGUGAAGGUCAGAAAUAACGAUAUCGGCCGCGAGCCUCAACACUCAUCAGAUCGUAUACAUCAGUAUGUAUUAUUUCCAAUAAGUCAGUUGCUCGCUCCAUUGUUCCGGAGAACAGAGUCUUAGUCAUCUUGCCCGUGAGGCAUGGUUCGCAAGCAUCAAGUGAUUCAUAAUCAAGUGAUUCCAAAAGCCCAUCAUCAUGGAGUUUCUUCAUGCGCUUUACACCAAUAUGACCUAAAUGGCAGUGCCACAAAUAAGUUGCACUAUCAUUAUUAACUUUGCAUCUUUGGGCAUCAAUAUUAUGAAUAUGUGUAUCACUACGAUCGAGAUUCAAUAAACCUUUUAUAUUGAGUGUAUGACCAUAGAAGGUUUUAUUCAUGUAAAUAGAACAACAAUUAUUCUUUGGCUUAAAUGAAUAACUGUAUUGCAAUAAACAUGAUCCAAUCAUAUUCAUGCUCAACGCUGACACCAAAUAACAUUUAUUUUAGGUUCAACACUAAUCCCGAAGGUAAAGGGAGUGUGCGAUGGUGAUCUUAUCAACCUUGGAAUCACUUCCAACACACAUCAUCACCUCGCCCUUAACUAGUCUCUGUUUAUUUUGCAACUCCCGUUUUGAGUUACUACUCUUAGCAACUGAACCAGUAUCAAAUACCGAGGUGUUCCUAUAAACACUAGUAAAGUACACAUCAAUAACAUGUAUAUCCAAUAUACUUUUGUUCACUUUGCCAUCCUUCUUAUCCGCCAAGUAUCUAGGGCAGUUCCACUUCCAGUGACCAUUUCCUUUGCAGUAGAAGCACUCAGUUUCAGGCUUGGGUCUAGCUUUGGGCUUCUUCAUGGGAGUGACAACUUUCUUGUCAUUCCUUUUGAAGUUUACCUUUCUUUCCCUUGCCCUUGAAACUAGUGGUCUUGUAAACCAUCAACACUUGAUGUUUUUUCUUGAUUUCUACCUUCGCCGAUUUUAGCAUCACGAAGAGCUUGGGAAUCGUUUCUGUUAUCCCUUGCAUAUUAUAGUUCAUCACGAAGUUCUAAUAACUUGGUGAUAGUGACUAGAGAACUCUGCACGGAGCUACUCUAGCUAAUAGCUCCCAUUUCCAAUAUGUAUCCAGAAUGAGACUUAGAGUCAUCUGGAUCAGUGUCAAAAACUUGCAUCGACGUAACCCUUUAUGACGAACCUUUUUUCACUUCCAUAAUCGAGAAACAUAUCCUUAUUCUACUAAGGAUAAUUUUGACCGCUGUCCAGUGAUCUACUCCUAGAUCACUAUUGUACUCCCUUGCCAAACUCAGUGGUAGGGUAUACAAUAGAUCUGGUACACAGCAUGGCAUACUUUGUAGAACCUAUGGCAUAGGGAAUGACUUUCAUUCUCUUUCUAUCUUCUGCCGUGGUCGGCCUUUGAGUCUUACUCAAUUUCACACCGUGUAACACAGGCAAGAACUCUUUCUUUGACUGUUCCAUUUUGAACUACUUCAAAAUCUUGUUAAGGUAUGUACUCAUUGAAAAAAAACUUAUCAAGCGUCUUGAUCUAUCUCUAUAGAUCUUGAUGCUCAAUAUCUAAGCAGCUUCACCGAGGUAUUUCUUUGAAAAACUCCUUUCAAACACUCCUUUAUGCUUUGCAGAAUAAUUCUACAUUAUUUCCGAUCAACAAUAUGUCAUUCACAUAUACUUAUCAGAAAUGAUGUAGUGCUCCCACUCACUUUCUUGUAAAUACAGGCUUCACCGCAAGUCUGUAUAAAACUAUAUCCUUUGAUCAACUUAUCAAAGCGUAUAUUCCAACUCCGAGAUGCUUGCACCAGUCCAUAGAUGGAUCGCUGGAGCUUGCAUAUUUUGUUAGCACCUUUAGGAUUGACAAAACCUUCUGGUUGCAUCAUAUACAACUCUUCUUUAAUAAAUCCAUUAAGGAAUGCAGUUUUGUUUAUCCAUUUGCCAGAUUUCAUAAAAUGCGGCAAUUGCUAACAUGAUUUGGACAUACUUAAGCAUAGAUACGAGUGAGAAACUCUCAUCGUAGUCAACACCUUGAACUUGUCGAAAACCUUUUUGCGACAAUUCUAGCUUUGUAGAUAGUAACACUACUAUCAGCGUCCGUCUUCCUCUUGAAGAUCCAUUUAAUCUCAAUGGCUCGCCGAUCAUUGGGCAAGUCAAUCAAAGUUCAUACUUUGUUCUCAUACAUGGAUCUCAUCUCAGAUUCCAUGGCCUCAAGCCAUUUUGCGGAAUCUGGGCUCAUCAUUGCUUCCUCAUAGUUCGCAGGUUCGUCAUGGUCAAGUAACAUGAGCUCCAGAACAGGAUUACCGUACCACUCUGGUGCAGAUCUCACUCUGGUUUACCUACGAGGUUCGGUAGUAACUUGAUCUGAAGUUACAUGAUCAUCAUCAUUAGCUUCCUCACUAAUUGGUGUAGUAGUCACAGGAACAGAUUUCUGUGAUGAACUACUUUCCAAUAAGGGAGCAGGUACAGUUACCUCAUCAAGUUCUACUUUCCUCCUACUCACUUCUUUCGAGAGAAACUCCUUCUCUAGAAAUGAUCCAUUCUCAGCAACGAAAGCUUGCCUUCGGAUCUGUGAUAGAAGGUGUACCCAACAGUUUCUUUUGGGUAUCCUAUGAAGAUUUACUUCUCCGAUUUGGGUUCGAGCUUAUCAUGUUGAAACUUUUUCACAUAAGCAUCGCAGUCCCAAACUUUAAGAAACGACAACUUGGGUUUCUUGCCAAACCACAGUUCAUAUGGUGUCGUCUCAACGGAUUUAGAUGGUGCCCUAUUAAUCGUGAAUGCAGCUGUCUCUAAUGCAUAACCCCAAAAUUAUAGUGGUAAAUUGGUAAGAGACAUCAUAGAUUGUACCGUAUCUUAAUAAAGUACUGUUAUGACGUUCGGACACACCAUUACGAUGUGGUGUUCCAGGCGGCAUGAGUUUGUGAAACUAUUCCACAUUGUUUUAAUUGAAGACCAAACUCGUAACUCAAAUAUUCGUCUCCGUGAUCAGAUCGUGGAAACUUUAAUUUUCUUGUUACGACGAUUCUCCACUUCACUCUGAAAUUCUUUGAAUUUUUCAAAUGUUUCAGACUUGUGUUUCAUCAAGUAGAUAUACCCAUAUCUGCUCAAAUCAUCUAUGAAGGUCAGAAAAUAACGAUACCCGCCGCGAGCCUCAACACUCAUCGGAUCGCAUACAUCAGUAUGUAUUAUUUCCAAUAAGUCAGUUGCUCGGUCCAUUGUUCCGGAGAACGGAGUCUUAGUCACCUUGCCCAUAAGGCAUGGUUCGCAAGCAUCAAGUGAUUCAUAAUCAAGUGAUUCCAAAAUCCCAUCAGCAUGGAGUUUCUUCAUGCGCUUUACACCAAUAUGACCUAAACGGCAGCGCCACAAAUAAGUUGCACUAUCAUUAUUAACUUUGCAUCUUUUUGGCUUCAAUAUUAUGAAUAUGUGUAUCACUACAAUCGAGAUCCAACAAACCAUUUUCAUUGGGUGUAUGACCAUAGAAGGUUUUAUUCAUGUAAAUAGAACAACAAUUAUUCUCUAACUUAAAUGAAUAACCCUAUUGUAAUAAACAUGAUCAAAUCAUAUUCAUGCUCAACGCAAACACCAAAUAACACUUAUUUAGAUUCAACACUAAUCCCGAAAGUUAUAUGGAUUGUGCGAUGAUGAUCAGAUCAAUCUUGGAACUACUUCCAACACACAUCGUCACUUCAUCCUUAACUAGUCUCUGUUCAUUUUGCAACUCCUGUUUUAAGUUACUACUCUUAGCAACUAAACCAGUAUCAAAUACUGAGGGGUUGCUACGAACACUAGUAAAAUACUCAUCAAUAAUCUGUAUUUCAAAUAUACCUUUGUUCACUUUGCCAUCCUUCUUAUCCGCCAAAUACUUGGGGCAGUUCCGCUUCCAGUGACCAGUCCCUUUGCAGUAGAAGCACUUAGUCUCGGGCUUAGGUCCAGACUUGGGCUUCUUUACUUGAGCAGCAACUUUCUUGCCGUUCUUCUUGAAGUUCCCCUUCUAUCCCUUUGCCCUUUUCUUGAAACUAGUGGUCUUGUUAACCAUCUACACUUGAUGCUCUUUCUUUGAUUUCUACCUUCGUCGAUCUCAGCAUCGCGAAGAGCUCGGGAAUUACUUUCGUCAUCCCUUGCAUACUAUAGUUCAUCAUGAAGUUCUACUAACUUGGUGAUGUUGACUAGAGAAUUCUGUCAAUCACUAUUUUAUCUGGAAGAUUAACUCCCACUUGAUUCAAGUGAUUGUAGUACCCAGACUAUCUGAGCACAUGCUCACUGCUUGAGCUAUUCUCCUCCAUAUUUUAGCUAUAGAACUUUUUGGAGACUUCAUAUCUCUCAACUCGGGUAUUUGCUUGAAAUAUUAAAUUCAACUCCUGGAACAUCUCAUAUGGUCCAUGACGUUCAAAACGUCUUUGAAGUCCCGAUUCUAAGCCGUUAAGCAUGGUGCACUAAACUAUCAAGUAGUCAUCAUAUUGAGCUAGCCAAACGUUCAUAACGUCUGCAUUUGCUCCUGCAAUAGGUCUGUCACCUAGCGGUGCAUCAAGGACAUAAUUCUUCAGUGCAGCAAUGAGGAUAAACCUCAGAUCACGGAUCCAAUCCGCAUCAUUGCUACUAACAUUUUUCAACUUAGUUUUCUCUAGGAACACAUAUAAAACAUAGGGAAUCAACAACGCGAGCUAUUGAUUUACAACAUAGAUAUGCUAAUACUACCAAGACUAAGUUCAUGAUAAAUUAAAGUUCAAUUAAUCAUAUUACUUAAAGAACUCCCACUUAGAUAGACAUCCCUCUAAUCUUCUAAGUGAUCACGUGAUCCAUAUCAACUAAACCAUGUCUGAUCAUCACGUGAGAUGGAGUAGUUUCAAUGGUGAACAUCACUAUGUUGAUCAUAUCUACUAUAUGAUUCACGCUCGACGUUUCGGUCUCAGUGUUCCGAGGCCAUAUCUGUUAUAUGCUAGGCUCGUCAAGUUUAACCUGAGUAUUCCGCAUGUGCAACUGUUUUGCACCCAUUGUAUUUGAACGUAGAGCCUAUCACACCCGAUCAUCACAUGGUGUCUCAGCACGAAGAACUUUCGCAACAGUGCAUACUCAGGGAGAACACUUAUACCUUGAUAAUUUAGUGAGAGAUCAUCUUAUAAUGCUACCGUUAAUCAAAGCAAGAUAAGAUGUAUAAAAGAUAAACAUCACACGCAAUCAUAAUAUGUGACAUGAUAUGGCCAUCAUCUUGUGCCUUUGAUCUCCAUCUCCAAAGCAUCGUCAUGAUCUCCAUCGUCACCGGCAUGACACCAUGAUCUCCAUCAUCUUGAUCUAUAUCAAUGUGUCGUCACAUGGUCGUCUCGCCAACUAUUGCUCUUGCAACUAUUGCUAUCGCAUAGCGAUAAAGUAAAGCAAUUAUUUGGCGCUUGCAUCUUAUGCAAUAAAGAGACAACCAUAAGGCUUCUGCCAGUUGCCGAUAACUUUAACAAAACAUGAUCAUCUCAUACAACAACUUAUAUCUCAUCAUGCUUGACCAUAGCACAUCACAACAUGCCCUGCAAAAACAAGUUAGACGUCCUCUACUUUGUUGUUGCAAGUUUUACGUGGCUGCUACGGGCUGAGCAAGAACCGUUCUUACCUACGCAUCAAAACCACAAUGAUAGUUUGUCAAGUUGGUGCUGUUUUAACCUUCGCAAGGACCGGGCGUAGCCACACUCGGUUCAACUAAAGUUGGAGAAACUGACACCCGCCAGCCACCUGUGUGCAAAGCACGUCGGUAGAACCAGUCUCGCGUAAGCGUACGCGUAAUGUCGGUCCGGGCCGCUUCAUCCAACAAUACCGCCGAACCAAAGUAUGACAUGUUGGUAAGCAGUAUGACUUAUAUCGCCCACAACUCACUUGUGUUCUACUCGUGCAUAUAACAUCAAUGCAUAAAACCUGGCUCGGAUGCCACUGUUGGGGAACAUAGUAAUUUCAAAAUUUUCCUACGCACACGCAAGAUCAUGGUGAUGCAUAGCAACGAGAAGGGAGAGUGUUGUCCACGUACCCUCGUAGACCGAAAGCGGAAGCGUUAGCACAACACGGUUGAUGUAGUCGUACGUCUUCAUGAUCCGACCGAUCAAGUACCGAACGCACGACACCUCCGAGUUCUGCACACGUUCAACUCGAUGACAACCCUCGAACUCCGAUCCAGCCGAGCUUUGAGGGAGAGUUCCGUCAGCACGACGGCAUGGUGAUGAUGAUGAUGUUCUACCGACGCAGGGCUUUGCCUAAGCACCGCUACGAUAUUAUCGAGGUGGAUUAUGGUGGAGGGGGCACCGCACACGGCUAAGAGAUCCAAGAGAUCAAUUGUUGUGUCUCCAAGGGGUGCCCCCUCGUAUAUAAAGGAGUGGAGGAGGGGGUGUUGGAAAUAUGCUCUAGAGGCAAUAAUAAAUUGGUUAUUAUUAUAUUUCCUUGUUCAUGAUAAUCGUUUAUUAUCCAUGCUAGAAUUGUAAUGAUAGGAAACUCAGAUACAUGUGUGGAUACAUAGACAACACCAUGUCCCUAGUAAGCCUCUAGUUGACUAGCUCGUUGAUCAAUAGAUGGUUACGGUUUCCUGACCAUGGACAUUGGAUGUCGUUGAUAACGGGAUCACAUCAUUAGGAGAAUGAUGUGAUGGACAAGACCCAAUCCUAAGCAUAGCAUAAAAGAUCGUGUAGUUCGUUUGCUAGAGCUUUUCCAAUGUCAAGUAUCUUUUCCUUAGACCAUGAGAUCGUGUAACUCUCGGAUGCCGUAGGAGUGCUUUGGGUGUACCCAACGUCACAACAUAACUGGGUGACUAUAAAGGUACACUAUGGGUAUCUCUGAAAGUGUCUGUUGGGUUGACACGGAUCGAGACUGGGAUUUGUCACUCCGUAUGACGGAGAGGUAUCUCUGGGCCCACUCGGUAAUGCAUCAUCAUAAUGAGCUCAAUGUGACUAAGGAGUUAGCCACGGGAUCAUGCAUUACGGUACGAGUAAAGUGACUAGCCGGUAACGAGCUUGAACAAGGUAUUGGGAUACCGACGAUCGAAUCUCGGGCAAGUAAAGUACCGAUUGACAAAGGGAAUUGUAUACGGGAUUGAUUGAAUCCUCGACAUCGUGGUUCAUCCGAUGAGAUCAUCGUGGAACAUGUGGGAGCCAACAUGGGUAUCCAGAUCCCGCUGUUGGUUAUUGACCGGAGAGGCGUCUCGGUCAUGUCUGCAUGUCUCCCGAACCCGUAGGGUCUACACACUUAAGGUUCGGUGACGCUAGGGUUGUAGAGAUAUGAGUAUGCGGAAACCCGAAAGUUGUUCGGAAUCCCGGAUGAGAUCCCGGACGUCACGAGGAGUUCCGGAAUGGUCCGGAGGUGAAGAAUUAUAUAUAGGAAGUCAAGUUUCGGCCACCGGGAAAGUUUCGGGGGUCACCGGUAUUGUACCGGGACCACCGGAAGGGUCCCGGGGGUCCAUCGGGUGGGGCCACCUAUCCCGGAGGGCCCCAUGGGCUGAAGUGGGAAGGGAACCAGCCCUUAGUGGGCUAGGGCGUCCCCCAUGGGCCUCCCCCCCGCGCCUAGGGUUGGAAACCCUAGGGUGGGGGGCGCCCCACUUGCCUUGGGGGGUAAGUUUCCCCCUGGCCGCCGCCCCCCUGCAGAUGGGAUCCAGGCCGGCGCCCCCCUCCCAGGGGGCCUAUAUAUAGUGGGGGGGGGGGCGGAGGGCAGCAACAUGACAGCCCCUGGCGCCUCCCUCUCCCCCUGCAACACCUCUCCCUCUCGCAGAAGCUUGGCGAAGCCGUGCCGAGACCCCGCUACUUCCACCACCACGCCGUCGUCCUGCUGGAUCUCCAUCAACCUCUCCUUCCCCCUUGCUGGAUCAAGAAGGAGGAGACGUCGCUGCUCCGUACGUGUGUUGAACGCGGAGGUGCCGUCCGUUCGGCACUCGGUCAUCGGUGAUUUGGAUCACGACGAGUACGACUCCAUCAACCCCGUUCAUUGGAACGCUUCCGCUCGCGAUCUACAAGGGUAUGUAGAUGCACUCCUUUCCCCUCAUUGCUAGUAAACUCCAUAGAUGGAUCUUGGUGAUGCGUAGGAAAAAUUUUGAAUUUCUGCUACGAUCCCCAACAGUGGUAUCAGAGCCAGGUUUAUGCGUAGUUACUAUGCACGAGUAGAACACAAAGCAGUUGUGGGCGUAGAUGUUGCCAAUUCUUCUUGUCGCUACUAGUCUUAUCUUGUUUCGGCGGUAUUGUGGGAUGAAGCGGCCCGGACCAACCUUACACGUACGCUUACGUGAGACAGGUUCCACCGACUGACAUGCACUAGUUGCAUAAGGUGGCUAGCGGGUGUCUGUCUCUCCUACUUUAGUCAGGACGGAUGAAAAGGGUCCUUAUGAAGGGUAAAUAGAAAUUGGCAUAUCACGUUGUGGUUUUACGUAGGUAAGAAACGUUCUUGCUAAAAACCUAUACAAGCCACGUAAAAACUUGCAACAACAAUUAGAGGACGUCUAACUUGUUUUUGCAGCAUGUGCCUUGUGAUGUGAUAUGGCCAGAAGAUGUGAUGAAUGAUAUAUGUGAUGUAUGAGAUUGAUCAUAUUCUUGUAAUAGGAAUCACGACUUGCAUGUCGAUGAGUAUGACAACCGGCAGGAGCCAUAGGAGUUGUCUUUAUUUUUGUAUGACCUGCGUGUCAUUGAAGAAUGCCAUGUAAAUUACUUUACUUUAUUGCUAAACGCGUUAGCCAUAGAAGUAGAAGUAAUCGUUGGCGUGACAACUUCAUGAAGACACAAUGAUGGAGAUCAUGAUGAUGGAGAUCAUGGUGUCAUGCCAGUGACAAAGAUGAUCAUGACGCCCCGAAGAUUGAGAUCAAAGGGGCAGAAUGAUAUUGGCCAUAUCAUGUCACUAUUUGAUUGCAUGUGAUGUUUAUCAUGUUAUGCAUCUUAUUUGCUUAGACUGAUGGUAGUAAGUAAGAUGAUCCCUUAUAAUAAUUUCAAGAAAGUGUUCCCCCUAAUUGUGCACCGUUGCGAAGGUUCGUUGUUUCGAAGCACCACGUGAUGAUCGGUUGUGAUAGAUUCUAACGUUCGAAUACAAUGGGUGUUGACGAGCCUAGCAUGUACAGACAUGGCCUCGGAACACAUGCAAAACACUUAGGUUGACUUGACGAGCCUAGCAUGUACUGACAUGGCCUCGGAACACAAGAGACCGAAAGGUCGAACAUGAGUCGUAUAGUAGAUACGAUCAACAUGAAGAUGUUCACCGAUGAUGACUAGUCCGUCUCACGUGAUGAUCGGACACGGCCUAGUUUGACUCGGAUCAUGUAUCACUUAGAUGACUAGAGGGAUGUCUAUCUGAGUGGGAGUUCAUUAAAUAAUCAGAUGAACUUCAUUAUCAUGAACAUAGUCAAAAGGUCUUUGCAAAUUAUGUCAUAGCUUACGCUUAAGUUCUACUGUUUAAGAUACGUUCCUAGAGAAAAUUUAGUUGAAAGUUGAUAGUAGCAAUUAUGCGGACUAGGUCCGUAAACUGAGGAUUGUCCUCAUUGCUGCACAGAAGGCUUAUGUCCUUAAAUGCACCGCUCGGUGCGCUGAACCUCAACGUCGUCUGUAGAUGUUGCGAAACAUCUGACAUACACGUUUUGAUGACUACGUGAUAGUUCAGUGCGUAAAUGCUAACGGUUUAGAAUUGUGGCACCAAAGACGUUUUUGAAACAUCGCAGAACAUAUGAGAUGUUCCGAAGACUGAAAUUGGGAUUUCAGACUAGUGCCCACGUCAAGAGGUAUGAGACCUCUGACAUGUUUCUUAAGCCUGCAAUCUAAAGGAGAAAAGCUCAAUCGUUGAGCAUGUGCUCAGAUUGUCUGAGUGCCACAAUCGCUUGAAUUGGGUGGGAGUUAAUCUUCCAGAUGAGAUAGUGAUGGUUCUCCAUAGUCACUGCCACCAAGCUAUUAGAGCUUCGUGAUGAACUAUAACAUAUCAGGGAUAGACAUGAUGAUCCUUGAGCAACUCGCGAUGUUUGACACCGCGAAAGUAGAAAUCAAGAAGGAGCAUCAAUUGUUGAUGGUUAGUAAAACCACUAGUUUCAAGAAGGGCAAGGGAAGAAGGGAUACUUCAUGAAACAGCAAAUCAUUUGCUGCUCUAGUAAAGAAUCCCAAGGUUGAACCCAAACCCGAGACUAAGUGCUUCUGUAAUGAGGGGAACGGUCACUGAAGCGGGACUACCCUAGAUACUUGGUAGAUGAGAAGGCAGGCAAGGUCGACAGAAGUAUAUUUGAUAUACAUUAUAUGAAUGUGUACUUUACUAGUACUCCUAGCAGCACCAGGGUAUUAGAUACCGGUUCGGUUGCUAAGAGUUAGUAACUCGAAAUAAAAGCUACGGAAUGAAUGGAGACUAGCUAAAGAUGAGAUGACGAUGUGUGUUGGAAGUGUUUCCAAGGUUGAUGUGAUCAAGCAUCGCAUGCUCCCUCUACCAUCGAUAUUGGUGUUAAACCUAAAUAAUUGUUAUUUGGUGUUUGGGUUGAGCAUAAACAUGAUUGGAUUGUGUUUAUCGCAAUACGGUUAUUCAUUUAAGGAGAAUAAUGGUUACUCUAUUUAUUUGAAUAAUACCUUCAAUGGUCUUGCACCUAAAAUGAAUCUCGAUCGCAGUGAUACACAUGUUCGUGCCAAAAGAUAUAAAAUAGUAAUGAUAAUACCACAUACUUGUGGCACUGCCAUUUGAGUCAUAUUGGUAUAGAACGCAUGAAGAAGCUCCAUGUAGAUGGAUCUUUGGACUCACUCGUUUUUGAAAAGAUUGAGACAUGCAAACCAUGUCUAUUGGUAUAUAUGCAUGAAGAAACUCCAUGCAGAUGGAUCGUUUGGACUCACUUGAUUUUGAAUCACUUGAGACAUGCAAAUCAUACCACAUGGGCAAGAUGACUGAAAGGCCUCGUUUUCAGUAAGAUUGAACAAGCGAGCAACUUAUUGGAAGUAAUACAUUUUGAUGUAUGCAGUCCGAUGAGUGCUGAGGCAUGCAGUGGAUAUCGUUAUGUUCUUACUUCACAGAUGAUUUGAGUAGAUGCUGAGUGUAUUUACUUGAUGAAACACAAGUCUGAAUUAUUGAAAGGUUCAAGUAAUUUCAGAGUGAAGUUGAAGAUCGUCGUGAUAAGAGGAUAUAAUGUCUGUGAUAUGAUCAUAGAGAUGAGUAUCUGAGUUACGAGUUUGGCACGCAAUUAAGACAUUGUGGAAAGUGUUUCACAAUUAAUACCGCCUGGAACACCACAGUGUGAUGGUGUGUCCGAACAUCAUAACUGCACCCUAUUGGAUAUGGUGCAUGCCAUGAUGUCUCUUAUCGAAUUACCACUAUCGUUUAUGGGUUAGGCAUUAGAGAUAACCGUAUUCACUUUAAAAGGGGGCACCACGCAAUUCCGUUGAGACGACACCGUUUAGAGAAACCUAAGCUGUCGUUUCUUAAAAGUUUGGGGCUGCGACGCUUAUGUGAAAAGUUUCAGGCUGAUAAGCUCGAACCCAAAGCGGAUGAAUGCAUCUUCAUAGAAAACCCAAAACAGUUGGGUAUACCUCCUAUUUCAGAUCUGGAAGCAAAAGUAGUUACUUCUAGAAAUGAGUCCUUUCUCGAGGAAAAGUUUCUCUCGAAAGAAUUGAGUGGGAGGAUGGUGGAGACUUGAUGAGGUUAUUGAACCAUAACUUCAACUAGUGUGUAGCAGGGCACAGGAAGUUGUUCCUGUGGCACCUACACCAAUUGAAGUGGAAGCUUAUGAUAGUGAUCAUGAAACUUCGGAUCAAGUCACUACCAAACCUCGUAGGACGACGAGGAUGCAUACUACUUCAGAGUAAUGCGUAAUCCUGUCUUGGAAGUCAUGUUGCUAGACAACAAUGAACUUACGAGCUAUGGAGAAGCGAUGGUGGGCCCAUAUUCCGACAAAUGGUUAGAAGCCAUGAAAUCCGAGAUAGGAUCCAUAUAUCAGAACAAAGCAUGGACUUUGGUGAACUUGCCCGAUGAUCGGCAAGCCAUUAAGAUAAAUGGAUCUUUAAGAAGAAGACGGACAUGGACGGUAAUGUUACCGUCUGUGAAGCUCGACUUGUGGCAAAGAGUAUUUUCACAAGUUCAGGAUGUUGACUACGAUGAGAUUUUUCUCAUCCGUAGCGAUGCUUAAGUCCGUCGGAAUCACGUUAGCAUUAGCUGCAUUUAUGAAAUCUGGCAGACGGAUGUCAAAACAAGUUUCCUUACCAGUUUUCGUAAGGAAAGGUUGUAUGUGAUACAAUCAGAAAGGUUUUGUCGAUCCUAAGGAUGUUAAAAGGUAUGCUAGCUCCAGCGAUCCUUCCGUGGACUAGAGCAAGCAUCUCGGAGUCAGAAUAUAUGCUUUGAUGGAGUGAUCAAAGUUUUUGGGUUUAUACAAAGUUUGUUAGAAACUUGUAUUUACAAUAAAGUGAGUGGGAGCGCUACAACAUUUCUGAUAAGUAUAUGUGAAUGACAUAUUGUUGAUCCGAAAUGAUGUAGAAUUUCUGGAAAGCAUAAAGGGUUGUUUGAAAGGAGUUUUUCAAAGGAUGACCUGGAUAAAGCUGCUUACAUAUUGGGCAUCAAGAUCUAUAGAGAUAGAUCAAGACGCAUGAUGAUACUUUCAAAGAACGCGCACUUUGACAUGAUUUUGAAAGAGUUCAAAAUAGAUCAGCAAAGAAGGAGUUCUUGGCUGUGUUACAAGGUGUGAGUAUUGAGUAAGACUCAAGACCAGACCACAGCAAAAGAGAGAGAAAGGACGAAGGUCGUCCCCUAUGCUUUAGACGUAGGCUCUACAGUAUGCUAUGCUGUGUACCGCACAUGAAGUGGGCCUUGCCAUGAGUUGGUCAAGGGGUACAAUAGUGAUCCGGGAAUGGAUCACAUGACAGCGGUCGAACUUAUCCUUAGUAUUUAGUGGACUAAGGAAUUUUCUCAAUUAUGGAGGUGAAAAGGAGUUCGUCGUAAAGGGUUACGUCGAUGCGAACUUUGACACUAAUCCGGAUGACUCUGAGUAGUAAACCGGAUUCGUAUAGUAGGGCAGUUAUUUGAAAUGGCUCCAAAUAGCGCGUGGUAGCAUCCACAAGAUGACAUAGAUAUUCGUAAACCACACACGGAUCUGAAACGUUCAGACCCGUCGACUAAUAACCUCUCUCACAAGCAUAACAUGAUCAAACCAGAACUCAUUGAGUGUUAAUCACAUAGUGAUGUGAACUAGAUUGUUGACUCUAGUAAACUCUUUGGAUGUUGGCCACAUGGUGAUGUGACCUGUGAGUGUUAAUCACAUGGUGAUGUGAACUAGAUUAUUGACUCUAGUGCAAGUGGUUGACUGUUGGAAAUAUGCCCUAGAGGCAAUAAUAAAUUGGUUAUUAUUAUAUUUCCUUGUUCAUGAUAAUCGUUUAUUAUCCAUGCUAGAAUUGUAUUGAUAGGAAACUCAGAUACAUGUGUGGAUACAUAGACAACACCAUGUCCCUAGUAAGCCUCUAGUUGACUAGCUCGUUGAUCAAUAGAUGGUUACGGUUUCCUGACCAUGGACAUUGGAUGUCGUUGAUAACGGGAUCACAUCAUUAGGAGAAUGAUGUGAUGGACAAGACCCAAUCCUAAGCAUAGCAUAAAAGAUCGUGUAGUUCGUUUGCUAGAGCUUUUCCAAUGUCAAGUAUCUUUUCCUUAGACCAUGAGAUCGUGUAAAUGCCGGAUGCCGUAGGAGUGUUUUGGGUGUACCCAACGUCACAACAUAACUGGGUGACUAUAAAGGUACACUACGGGUAUCUCUGAAAGUAUCUGUUGGGUUGACACGGAUCGAGACUGGGAUUUGUCACUCCGUAUGACGGAGAGGUAUCUCUGGGCCCACUCGGUAAUGCAUCAUCAUAAUGAGCUCAAUGUGACUAAGGAGUUAGCCACGGGAUCAUGCAUUACAGUAGGAGUAAAGUGACUUGCCGGUAACGAGAUUGAACAAGGUAUUGGGAUACCGACGAUCGAAUCUCGGGCAAGUAAAGUACCGAUUGACAAAGGGAAUUGUAUACGGGAUUGAUUGAAUCCUCGACAUCGUCGUUCAUCCGAUGAGAUCAUCGUGGAACAUGUGGGAGCCAACAUGGGUAUCCAGAUCCCGCUGUUGGUUAUUGACCGGAGAGGCGUCUCGGUCAUGUCUGCAUGUCUCCCGAACCCGUAGGGUCUACACACUUAAGGUUCGGUGACGCUAGGGUUGUAGAGAUAUGAGUAUGCGGAAACCCAAAAGUUGUUCGGCGUCCCGGAUGAGAUCCCAGACGUCACGAGGAGUUCCGGAAUAGUCCGGAGGUGAAGAAUUAUAUAUAGGAAGUCAAGUUUCGGCCACCGGGAAAGUUUCGGGGGUCACCGGUAUUGUACCGGGACCACCGGAAGGGUCCCGGGGGUCCACCGGGUGGGGCCACCUAUCUCGGAGGGCCCCAUGGGCUGAAGUGGGAAGGGAACCAGCCCUUAGUGGGCUAGGGCGCCCCCCAUGGGCCUCCCCCUGCGCCUAGGGUUGGAAAUCCUAGGGUGGGGGGCGCCCCACUUGCCUUGGGGGGUAAGUUUCCCCCUGGCCGGCGCCCCCCCUUGCAGAUGGGAUCCAGGCCGGCGCCCCCUCCCAGGGGGCCUAUAUAUAGUGGGGCGGAGGGAGGGCAGCAAUAUGACAGCCCCUGGCGCCUCCCUCUCCCCCUGCAACACCUCUCCCUCUCGCAGAAGCUUGGCGAAGCCCUGCCGAGACCCCGCUACUUCCACCACCACGCCGUCGUGCUGCUGGAUCUCCAUCAACCUCUCCUUCCCCCUUGCUGGAUCAAGAAGGAGGAGACAUCGCUGCUCCGUACGUGUGUUGAACGCGGAGGUGCCGUCCGUUCGGCACUCGGUCAUCGGUGAUUUGGAUCACGACGAGUACGACUCCAUCAACCCCGUUCAUUGGAACGCUUCCGCUCGCGAUCUACAAGGGUAUGUAGAUGCACUCCUUUCCCCUCGUUGCUAGUAAACUCCAUAGAUGAAUCUUGGUGAUGCAUAGGAAAUUUUUUGAAUUUCUGCUACGAUCCCCAACAGGGGGAGGGCCGGCCCUCUCUAUGGCACGCCCUAGGAGGAGUCCUACUCCCACCGGGAGUAGGAUUCCCCCCUUCCAAGUAGUAGGAGUAGGAGUCAAGGAAAGGGAAGAGGAAAGAGAAGGAAGGAGGGGGCGCCGCCCCUCCCCUUAGUCCAAUUCGGACUAGUCAAUGGGGGGGCGCGCGGCCUGCCUCUCCCUCUCCCCUAAAGCCCAAUAAGGCCCAUAUACUUCUUCCCCCGUAUUCCCGUAACUCCCCGGUACUCCGAAAAAUACCCGAACCACUCGGAACCUUUCCGAUGUCCGAAUAUAGUCGUCCAAUAUAUCGAUCUUUAUGUCUCGACCAUUUCGAGACUCCUCGUCAUGUCCCAGAUCUCAUCCAGGACUCCGAACUACUUUCGGUACAUCAAAACACAUAAACUCAUAAUAUAACCGUCAUCGAACUUUAAGCGUGCGGACCCUACGGGUUCGAGAACAAUGCAGACAUGACCGAGACACGUCUCCGGUCAAUAACCAAUAGCAGAACCUGGAUGCUCAUAUUGGCUCCCACAUAUUCUACGAAGAUCUUUAUCGGUCAAACCGCAUAACAACAUACGUCACUACUAGGAAAAGGGCUAUAGAUGAAAUGGCCACUAAUGGCGCACCAGACAUGUGGUGCGCCACUACUAUAUAGCAGUGGCGCACCAUGUGCUGGUGCGCCAUUAGUGUGAAACACUAAUGGCGCACCAGACACACGGUGCGCCACUAGUAACAAUUUUUUUUAAUUAUUUUUCCAAACAUACUAAUGGCGCACCAGGGCACAGUGCGCCAUUACUAGUUCUAACUAGUAAUGACGCACCAGCCACAUAGUGCGCCACUAUUAUAUUUUUUUUGCAAAACUACUAAUGGCGCACCAGGGUAUAGUGCGCCAUUACUAGUUUAAACUAGUAAUGGCGCACUGUGCCCUGGUGCACCAUUAGUGUAUAUAUAUAUAUUUUUUUUUUGCAAAACUACUAAACUACUAAUGGCGCACCUACUGGUGGUGCGCCAUUAGUAACCUGGGACCAGCUAGAUAUUUUGGACAGCCACACCUACCCACUCACUUUCCCCACUUCAUUCUCUCCACCUCCUCCUCCAAGCUUGUCUCGGCUGCCUCCUCCUCCUCACCACAUUUGCACCAUAGAUUCAUCCAAAUUAAGUGGUUAAAUUACCUUUUUUUUAUAAGUAAGUAAGGGGGAAGCUAUCUCUAUGUUGUUCUCCCUCCAACAACGUGCACAUGCACUUUUUAUGGCCUAGCUAAAUCUAUGUAUGUUUGUGGUGUUGCAUAUGUUUGUGCUGUUGCAUAUGUUUGUGGUGUUGCAUAUAUGUUUGUGUUUGCAGGUACCGGUAUUUGAAAUGCGAUAGUUGCCAAUAUUUUGCCGGAAUGUUGAUUCAUUUCCGUUUCGGCGAGAAUUUUGGCACUAUGCAUUCUUUUUGGUCCUAUUUUUAGGGAAAGUCAUGCCAAAUUUUUUCUUGGUUCUAAAAUAUCGUUUUGCUCUACCCCGCAGGCGACCAUGGUCCACACGAUGACCGAAGGCAUCGUGAAUAGGUUUUUGAGCUCCGCGAAGGCCGAGAUGCUUCAAAAGAACGAGACGGAGAUAAGAUGUCCGUGUCGAAGAUGCAAGCUGAAGAGCCUUAUUGCGGACCCGGAUUCCGGACAGGUGCGGGAGCACCUGCUCUUGCGUGGUUUCAUGGAUGGCUAUCGGUGGCAAGGUGAUGAAGAUGACUAUGAAGUCGUCCAUGGGGGCCGGGCAAGAAAUGAGGAAGGGCAGCAAGACAACCACCGCGGCUCGGGCGGGCGAGAAGACGAAGAAUCUCCAGGACAUGAUCACGACAGUGAUGCUGUACACAGUCAUCAUGUAGAAGAUGCCGGACAUGAUGAUGAGGAAGAUGCCGGAGCAGAUGAAGGGCAUGCUCAUGAAGAUGAAGAUGCCGGCGGAGCAGACGACGAUGGACCAUCGAUGGGCUGGGUGCAGGACCCUCAUAUUCAAGAGCUGCUUCUCAAGCAGACGGAUAACGCAAGAGCUGCCGCCCGAGAGAAAGCCAAGCUGGAUCAACUAGAGAUAGACGCGGUUACUCCAUUGUAUGAAGGAUGCAGGCCCGAGGAUACCCGCCUGAAAGUAACGCUCAUGGCUCUGGAGAUGAAGGUAAAACACAAAAUGACCGACGCAUGCUUCGACGAGAACAUGUCAUUCUGGCACGAACGUCUUCCCAAGGGGAACAAUUGCCCGACCAGUUUCAAGGAGGCGAAGAAAAUCGUGUGUCCUCUGGAUUUACCGCACGUGAAACACCAUGUGUGCAUGAACAAUUGCAUCAUUUAUCGGGACGAGCACGCGGAGUCUACCAUAUGUCCGGUGUGCGGCGUCACUCGAUACAAGAAGAGGAAGGAAGCUCCUCGAAAAGUGGUGUGGUACUUUCCGAUCACUCCUCGUCUACAGCGGUAUUUCGCGGACCCUAAGGUAGCAAAGCUCCUGCGUUGGCACGCGGAUAGGGAGGAGAAGAAGCGAGAAGAUGACGCAAAUGAUCCGGAGAUAAAUAAAAAAGACAAGAUGCUGAGUCACCCUAAGGAUGGGAGCCAGUGGCAAGCGUUGAACUUCGAACACCCAGAAUUUGGGAAGGAUCCAAGGAACAUCGUGCUGGGCGCGAGCACUGAUGGAGUCAAUCCGUUUGGCAGCCAGAGAAGCACACAUAGCACCUGGCCUGUGUUUGUGUGGAUGUACAACCUCCCCCCCUGGUUGUGCAUGAAGAGGAAGUACAUUCACAUGAGUAUGCUAAUUGAAGGGCCGAAACAACCAGGGAACGACAUCAAUCUGUAUCUGGGGCUGCUGAAAGAGGAGCUAGACACGCUGUGGAAAACGCCAGGCAAUACGUGGGACGCCGCAGAGAAAGAAUAUUUCCCUAUGAGAGCCGCACUGCUCACGACGGUGCACGACUAUCUCGGUUACGGAUAUCUCGCGGGGCAGGUGGUCCACGGAUUUUCUGGAUGCGUCUGGUGCAUGGAUGACACAACGUAUCGUCAGCUAGAUAGAGAUCCCUGGUCUUCGAAAACCGUGUUCAUGGGACAUCGAAGGUGGCUUCGCGACGAUGACCCAUGGAGGAAAUGCAAGGAUCUGUUCGAUGGUGAAACCGAACCCCGAAUACGCCCGCGUACGAGGAGCGGCGAGGAAAUAGGCGAGCUGUUGAAAAAUUGGAAAGAUUGCCCACUGCCGGGAAAGAAGCAAAAGGCGCCAGAGCCGCUGCUGAAGGUAUGGAAAACGAGGUCUGUUUUCUGGGACUUGCCGUACUGGAAGAUCCACCGUGUGCCUCAGAGCCUUGAUGUCAUGCAUAUCACGAAGAACGUGUGCGAGAGUCUGCUUGGUACCCUGCUCAACAUGCGAGAGAGGACCAAAGAUGGGCCGAAAACAAGGGCAGACUUGAAAUCAAUGGGCAUCAGGGAGGAGCUUCACGCUAAUGAUGAUGAUGAUGAUGAUGAUGGGAAGCAGGACACGGAAAGUCGUCGCAAAGGCAAAAAGGCCAAGAAGACCGGAAAUGACUACCCUCCCGCGUGCUUCACUCUAAGUCAGGAGGAGAUCGAUCAGUUUUUCACCUGCCUCAUAGGAGUAAAACUUCCUUAUGGUUACGCGGGGAAGAUAAGCAGAUACCUAGACCCAGCGAAGCAGAAGUUCAGCGGGAUGAAGUCUCACGACUGUCACGUGCUGAUGACGCAGAUACUUCCAGUUGCAAUCCAUGGGAUCAUGGACGCGCACGUCCGUGAAACGCUAUUUGGCCUAUGCAACUUUUUCGACGUCAUCUCUCGGAAGUCGGUUGGCGUGAGGCAACUCAGAAGGCUACAGGAAGAGAUCGUGGUGAUACUAUGCGAGCUUGAGAUGUACUUCCCGCCCGCAUUCUUCGACGUUAUGGUGCAUCUGCUGGUCCAUAUCGUGGAGGAUAUCAUCCAACUCGGGCCGACGUGCCUGCACAACAUGAUGCCGUUCGAAAGGAUGAAUGGUGUCAUCAAAGGAUACGUUCACAACAUGGCACGUCCAGAGGGAAGCAUAGCCAGGGGCUUUCUGACCGAAGAGUGUAUCUCCUACUGCACGAAUUAUCUAGGCAUCGAGAACCCCGUUGGCCUGCCCGUCAACAGGCACCUGGCAGGCUCGCUGGAUGGGGUCACCGUGAGGGUCGCCGCGAAAUGCAUGUUGACUUCGAGGGUCGACUCGCCGACUUUGAAAGAGCAAACCUAGUCGCGCUACAACACAUAGACGUGGUCGAUCCUUGGGUGGUAGAGCACAAAACCUUUAUUGAGAAGACGUACAAUGACCGAGGCCAACAGAGGACGGACGGAGAUAUAAUCAAAGAGCACAACUCAUGUUUCACGCGUUGGUUCAAGCAGAAGCUUCUGUCGUACCCUUUACAUGAGGAUUCUUCUGCGGAAGAACAACUCAUAUUCACCUUGUCACAGGGCGCCGAGCACAACCUGAUGACGUAUGAGGCGUACGAUAUCAACGGCUACACAUUCUACACCGAGGACAAGGACAUGAAGAGCGAUGGUUAUCAGAACUCCGGGGUAACGAUGGAAUCCUACACCGGUAACGACAAGGACAGAUACUACGGAAGGAUCGAGGAGAUCUGGGAGCUGAGCUACGCUGGAGAGAAGGUCCCGAUGUUCUGUGUCAGAUGGGCCAAGAGCGUCAUAAAAGAAGACCAGUAUUUCACCACCAUGGUUAUACCCGGAGCCAAAUCCAAGACCGCAGGCGCGAACGUCACCGCGAAAAAUGAGCCAUGGGUACUGGCUUCCCAAGUGGACCAAUGCUUCUUCAUUACCGACCCGUCAAAGCCCAGUCGUGUUGUCAUGAGGAGAGGCAAAAGGAAGAUCAUCGGAAUGGAUGGAGUCGCCAAUGAGCAAGACUUCGACAAGUACGGCGACCCGAAGAUGGAACAUGACGACGACGAUGAAGUAUCAGCAUACACCACAAGAAGAAGCAGGACCACCCUACCUAAAGGACGUUCGUUCAAGAGAAGAACUCCAUUUACGAAAAAUAAGGGCAAGAAGAUUGUGAACAGAUAGCUAGCUAAGAUCGAUUGUAUUUAAAUUGUAGCCUUCAUUUCUCGAUUGUAUUUCAUGGGCACUUUUUGAACUCAUGAAUAUUUUGAAAUUUCAUGGGCACUUUUUGAAUUCAUGAAUAUUUUUUCAAAUUUGAUGAUAUUUUUUCAUAUUCAAUAUGAAAAAAUAUUGAAUAUUCAUGAGGACACUCGAUCUCGAUCCCCCUCCAUCUCGAUCGCUAUCCCACCUCGCCAGAUCCCCCUCGCCGUCGAGCACCCCCCGCACCCUCUCCCCCGCUCCACCGCCGCCGACGACCCACCGCACCCUCCCCCGCUCCACCGCCGCCGACGACCCCCCCACACCCUCCCCCGCUCCACUAUUUUUCAGAUUAUCAUGACACCGCUGAGAAAAGUUAUGAGCGGAGCUGGAAUCUUUGCCCAUGUGAGUUAAGAAAGCACAUUCGUUUCCAUCAUUCACCUUCUUCCAAUUAUUAAAUCCCUUGACUGUGAAUGCAUCAGAGCCACACCUUCCACUUGGCCAUUUUGUGAAGAGAAAACAAGGUAGGCAGUACGCACGAUGUGUUUCCAUCGAAUACUCAAGCCAAGGAAAAGAAUUGAAAUAACUGUAUUGAAAUUGACGACGAUUUUUUCCUGUUUUAUUAUAUGGAUAUUCUCUCAUGUAUGGUUGAUAAGCUCCCUUCAAAAUAUAGAAGCGGCGUGCUUCUUCUUGCUCAUCCUGAGGGAGUUCCCAAAAUUGCUGGCGCAUACCGGGGUCCCUUACAUAUUUUGUGGUUCCAUUUGUAUCUUCUCCUGCUGCAACUUCUUCCGGUGCCACAACCUGUUGCUCAUCAGUUUGGAUAUCAACAAAAAUAUCAUUUGCUUGGUUAUCUGCAACAGGUUGCUCCUCAGAUGGAAACACAUUUUCGGCACGAGUAAUGUUGGAGCUUGAAGUUGACCCAACUGGCUUGAAAAAGGAAUUUAUCCCCCCAGUUGUUGGUGCCUUUCGCUUCUUCAUUGACAACUACAUAGAAAGGAAAACCAUGAUUAAUAGAUUAAUUCACUAUUUUGUAGACAACACUAACGCACCAGAUUAGGAUAGUAGGAUUUUAAUUCAUAAUAAGUUAAUAAAUGAUAGCUACAAGUACGUACUGGUACAUUCCUCUAUCUGAUCUUCCUUUCUCCCUGUAAAACUCUGAUCUAAUGAAGCCUCCUCCUCUUUCCUUACUCCUUAGACACUGGACAAACAACGGACAAAGACGACAGAUCAGCACAGCCGAUAGGGUAGGGACGGAGGCGUGGUGAGCGCCUUACCUGAGCGGGAGCAGCAGCCGGGCAACCGGCGGCUGGGCGGCAGCGGCAAACAACGCCCUAGUGCAAGGACAUGAUCAAUGGAUCGAUCGAUCGCAUGGGGCAAACAACAAAAGGCAGCCACGACCACAUGACAAUGACAUGGGCUAUUGGGCUUUCCGUCUAGGAUAGUUACUAUAUUAGCAUCCAUAUGGGCUAAUGAUGUGAUUAUCUCCGGCCAAUUAGCGCAUAUACAGUAUACUACCUAUACUACUACUACCUGCUAGAAAUCGUUGGGUUGAGCCCCCGAGUCUGGCGCCGUCCAUGGCCUUGGUCGUCCUCCACUCCCCUGUACCAAGUGCCGGGCUCGAUGCGAGGGAGGGGUGUACCAUCAUCGGAGUCAGAGGAGGGCAGCCCGCUCUGCGCGAAGUGCAAAGAGUCUACUAUUCACCAUAUGUGACCAUGUCUGUCUUAGUUAACCAUUUUGUUUGCUACGAAGGAAAUAGUUCGAGUAUAAUUACAAAUUAGUGCAAUGCAUGUGAACGGAGAUGUAGCUCAAUUGGUACAACACUAAUCUAUGUUGGAUAGAGGAACGGAGAUGCGUACCUCGCAUAUCCAAUUAAUAUUUUGCUUAUUGUUUUGUCAAUCACUGUCAUUUUCCCUGAAAAAACUACGCCUUGAAAGCCCACAGGCUAAAACCCCGACAAAUAAUGAAUUUUUGUCAUGUUUUUUCCCGAUACCAAUUGGGUAUCCAUUGAAUAAUUAUUUUAGAAAAGAAUAAAUAUUACCAUAAUACGAUGAUGUGGAUCUUUUCACAUUUGUUAAUUUCUACUACUCCGUUCGGAAUUAAUUGUCGUAGAAAUGGAUAAAAAUGAAUGUAUAUAGAACUCAAAUAUGUCUAGAUACAUUCAUUUUCUCUGACAAGUAUUUCGCGACGGAGGGGGUAUUAUUUGCUGGCAAAUAUUGAACUGGUGUACUGCUGUACGUUUCAAAGCAGCAAGCAAGGAUUCGAGUACCCAAAUACCGUAGCAGCCAAAAAGCUAGCCUGAACCUUCGUGGAACUUUCGUGGGGCCCAUUUUCAGUGGCCUUGCGUUACCACCACCCCACCGCUUUCCUUCAUGUGAUCCGCCCCUCCCCCAAUACGUCACACGCCUAUCUCCUCUCUAUAAAGGAUUGAGUAUUCUGCCCACAGGCCACAGCCAUUACCACGCCUCGCACAAUUGUCGCCAGGCAAGACAAGGGGAGGGUCUCUGACAGCUAGCAAGAGAGCAAGGCGAUGGCAAUGGCGGACGAGCAGUACGACGCUGGCCCGCCCGGGGCGCCGCACUUAUUGUUGCUGGCGGUGGUGGUGGGGCUGCUGGUUGCGUGGCCGCUUUUCCUGGGUGGCAGCCGCGAGGCGGUCAUCGAUGUCAUCGCCAAUGCAAUCGCCGAGCAGCUCGGCCCCGUGGGCCUGCUCCUCCUCCCGCUGGGGCUCCUCCUCCUCAUCCACCUCCUCUCCUCCGACGGCGGCUCGCCCGACGCCGUGUACCAUGUCGGGGGAUCCCCCAUCGGCGUGGCGCUCGUGCUGGUCCUCAUCCUCGCCCUCCUCUACUACCGGUCGGCACUCUUCGGCAGCGGCGGAGACGACGACAAGUAGGCGCCUGCCAGUAGGUAGAGUCUCAUCUCGGGGUGGCUGGUUGGGUUUUCUUUUCCAUGUGCUUGUUCUCUUCCGCCUCUCCUCGUCGUCGGUAGUCAUGCAUCCUGCACCACCGGCCAGCAGGCAGCAGUAAAUAACAAAGUGACAACUUUGCGUUUAACCUGUUCCAAGUGUUGCAUUCUAAUCUUGGUUCUACUGGCAUCCAUCUCACGCGCCCAAAGACAGACAAACAAAAAGUUGGAACUGAAUUUGACGUGGUCUGUGUCUUUUGGAUCGAUAGUGAGAUGCUGCAACUGCAUGCCUCGUGCCGUCUAGUGUACUACUCCAAAAAGCUCAUGGUGUUCAGUUUGUUGAUAGUAGCUGAAAAUGAAAACAUAACUUUGAAUCUCCAAAAGGAAAAAAUGAAAAGAAAAUGGCAAUUGGAAGUCAGUUUCACGGGUUGUUUAGCUGAAACAUCCAUGUACUAACAAGUGACGAUAAACUCAUCCUAGGCACCAACGUAGCUUGCUUACUACUUUGUGGUGUCUAAUGGUUCCUCUUUUCAAAUAGACGCACUUCUCUGUUCUCGGUGUACUGGAUCGGGCUCAGGUACUCGUGAGUCAUGAGUGACACGGUGGGGGGUUCCGCGGGUGUACUGAUGUGAUUUGGAAGCAAACUAGAAGCAACAUGCGCGCUUUCCUGCGCCCGCGGACAGGAGCGCAGCAUGUACUGCACCUUCUAUGAACAGUAAAUUCAAAAAAAUUGAAAACAAAAUCAUAAAAAACUGAAACUUUGAAACAUCAAACAUGAAACAUCGACGUACCAACAAAGUUUCAGCCUCAAAUAACAUUCGAGGAGCCCUCGCCCAAACAAACGAAAAUCAGUGUUCAAAGUUUUUGUGCACUUUUGAGUAGUAUUUUUAUGCAAAAAGGAUGCCACUCGAAUUGUAAAAAAAGACCACCCCUGGAUGAAAUUGGCGGAAAAGACCCCCUAGGCUAUGACGGUAGGCGCACCAGCCGACACGUGGCACCUGCCGCCACGGUAGGAGGCGGCCGCCCAUGCCGCCACGGCGCCAGGCGGCAGGCUGCCCAGAACAGGAAUCUGCGAUCGCCGACGGAACGGAGGCCGGGUGGUGGGCCCUGCUGCCACACCACCAGGCGGUAGGUAUUAUUCCUAUUGCGCGCGACGCGACAGGCUGCACUGCUGUCGGUUGGUGGCGUUUGACGUUUCUGCCGGCACUAAUUGCAGUGUUUUGGAUCAUGCGUAAUUCCUGCCUAAAAUUUCAUCCAUUCACCUAUUUUCCCGCCAUCAUAUUGUCAUCUGAGCCUAUAAAACGAUGCAUUAAGCCUCUCUUCAUUAAACAUCCAGCCACCCUCGGAAUCGUCACUGCUCUUAUUGUGUCACCAUAUUUUUAGUCGUUAUGAGUUUGCCUUGCUCAAACCAAAGUAUUAGGCCGAGGAAAAUGAAAAAUGCGAGUUUGCAUCUAGGGGUUAAAGUCCUACAAUAUUGGUGUGGCGAUCUGUGCAAGGUGAAGGAGGUGACACAUUUUUCGGAUUGGUUGGGCAUGAAGUUUUUCAUGUGCGCCAAUUAUGAGGAAGAUUCACCCGUAGCUAGUUCACCGUACGACAAGCCUCCAGUAUGCUUUAACCAUCAUGAACAGAGAUAUUAUUGGUUUUUUGGUUGAUUUUUUAUUGACAUUCUUGUUCUUGCUGUAGUCUCCUCCGCCUCUAUGCAUGUACUACCUUUGGAUUAUUACGGAGAAAGAAAGGGCUCUUGAGGCCAAGGCAGCAGAAGAAGCUGGAGAUGGAAAAUGAAAAUAGCCACGCUAGACUCAGUAGAUUUCUGUGGUAGUAUCUUAAAUUUCGGAACCGUUUGGAUCUUAAUUUCAGGAGUUUAAUGUAGGUUUCUUUCAGUAGUUCAAUGUGGCUUUAUUUCAAAAGUUCAAUGUAUCCUACUUUCAGUAGUUCAAUGUCGCUUUAUAUCAAAAUUUCGGAACCGUUUGUAUCUUAAUUUCAGCAGUUUAAUGUAGGUUUCUUUCUGCCUGUUUUUUCCGCCAUUUUUCCUCGUCAUAAAUUCUUCCUGCCAUUUAUUAGGACCAAAUUUCCUGCCACCAAUUUUUCCCGCCAUUUUCUUUCCCGCCUUAUCUUUUGCAUGGAGAACUCUAUAAAAUCAACCCCUAGCAUGUUGUGUUCUGUAUCUUUCCAUCGCCAUUUAUCUAGCCAUGUCCGGUGCCAACUCGAAGAGACGUCCCCAGAGUGCCGCAUCAGCUAGGGUUGCUGCAAUCUCAAAGAAAGUGAGCGUAGACGAUGAUGAAGAAUUUAUGCCAGGCAAGCAAGCUCAAAACAAAUCCAAGGGCUGAGUUGCAUCAGGUAAGGGGGGCGCUAGCUUUAAGCACUUGAAGACGAUGGUGACGACGACUUCAGACCGAGCAAAAGAGCUCAGAACAGAUCCAAGGGUAGUGCAAGCUCGAAGAGGAGUAAGUCAGGUAAGAGUGUUGCGCCAACGAAGGGCGCUGAUGCUGAUUACGAUUCUACUGAUGACUUUAUGCUAGGGAAACUAGUUCAGGUAACAUUUGGAUGCAAUCAUCAAGACCUAUGGAAGGCCCAUGUUAGCGAGAAUAGUGAGGAUGACUUCAUGUAGUUUCUGUAUGACAAUGCAUCAGCAUUGUGUUGUAUCUUUAUUUGAGAUGUACUACUUUAAUGUCAUAAUUCAGAUGCAUUUUUAUUUCCUCAUACAUAGAUGUCAAGUCUGAAACUAUCAUAGAUAGAUAGAAUAGCCCGCACACAUAGAUGACAAAUCACCCUCCUCGACGACGGCCAGCUGGCCUUUCCCGACGACCGGAAGGCGACAAGCGAUUAGGUGGUCGAUUUGGACGAAGACCACGGCCAUAGUGCCCCUCGUCUCGAUGUGUCUGCGACUCCCGCAUAGGUGGUGGAGUCUGCGACUCCCGCAUAGGUGGUGGAGUCUGCAAUCCAUAUUGAGAUCCUGAUGCAAAAUUGUAGGUGUUUGGUUUGGACUCCAGACGGAUAUAAGAUGGGCCAGUAACGUUCCCAUGGAAGAAGUUUGUAAUUAUUCCUGAAACCGUGUUGCCAGGAUCAAGGGAUGAUAUGAGGAUGCCUGUGUUCAGGCCACGCUCGGUGCCAUCACCAUGCCAUGUAGGAUCAGUAUUUUCCUACGCAGAAAGAAACCGAUUUUAAUUCAGCGGAACAUAAUUCAGCGGCGCCGUAGCGUUGUGAUCCCUCGCCUCCCGUGUAUGGUCAUUGUUCGCCGUACUGGUAAGAAAAUUGUUAUGAAAAUAAACCGUUAGAGGAUAAUAUAUGAUAUCAUUGUAAAUGCAUAAAAACUGCAAACAGGAGUACCCACAGAGAUCCAUCGCCUCCGGUGUAUUGCAAUUGUCCAUCGUACUGGUUUAUCUUUGUCAAACGAGUCUCCUCGGGCAUCGAGUCCCUCAUGUGGCGAGAUACAGCUGAGAUGCCUCGCCAUGGGUGUAUGCGCCAUGUCCUGUGUACGCAUUUGGGUCAGGAAAACGAGUCAUUUUGGGCAUAGAACCCAAGCCCGCACCAUGUUCCUGGGAUGUAUGCCCCUGACGGCGUACUAGUAAAGGACUACUCAAAAUCACAAAAAUCUGAACCUUUGGAACAUCAAACAUGAUAAAACAUUCGACGUACUACAAAGUUUCAGUCUUUAAAUAACAUUCGAGGAGCCCUCACCUAAAAAAACUAAACCAGUGUUCAAAGUUUAUGUGCACUUUUGAGCAGUAAUUUUAUUUUUAGGCAUCCUCGAUUGUUAUUAGUGGCUAAAAAUUUGCAAGAACUUCAAAAGUUUGAUCAUAUUUGGUCCCCCAAAUUUUUUUAUUUUCAUUUUUUAUAGUUUUUUUGAAUUUACUGUUCAUGAAGGUGUAGGGGCACCCGGGAGAUGUAACACCUUUCUCAAACUAUAUUCGUGAUUUGCUUGAACCUUCAUACUUAUGUUUAGUUUCUAUAUGUGUGUAGUUUAUAUAUAGUUGUAAUGUGAACUAGAAUUGCAUAAGUUAAAGAAAUAAAAUUAUACUCCGUUAUAUUUAGGAGAUCGGCUAGGUCCGUCCAAAAGUUUGUGGAGUAAAUAUACUCCACUAACUCUACUAGGUCCGUCCAAUAAUGUUGACCUAAAGUUCUAAGAAGAAAAACUAGUCUGAACUUUCUUGGAACUUUCCUGGUGCCCACUUUCAGUAGCCUUACGUUACCACCAUCCCACCACUUUUUUCCUUCAUGUGAUAUCCGCUGCGCUCCGCUGCGCUAGUCACACUCCCACCCCUCUCUAAAGGCUUGAGUACCCUACCCACUGGCCACAACCAUUACCACGCCUGGCACAAUUGUCGCCAGGUGAGACAAGGAUUGCUAGCAAGAGAGCAAGGAGGUGUCAAUGGCGGACAAGCAGUACUUCGCUGGCCCGUGCGGGGCGCCACAUGGGCUGCUGCUGGCGGUGGUGGUGGGGCUACUGGUUGCGUGGCCGCUUUUCGUGGGUGCCCGCGGCGAGGCGGUCACCGAUGCCAUCGCCGAGCUGCUCGGCCCCGUGGGCCUGCUCCUCCUCCCCGUCGGGCUCCUCCUCCUCAUCAGCCUCCUCUCCUCGGAUUGCGGCCCUGGCGUGUUCGCGUUCGGCGGCUCGCCCGACACCAUGCACCACGUCGGGGGAUCCCCCAUCGGCGUGGCGGUCAUGCUGAUCCUCAUCCUCGCCCUUCUCUACUACCGGUCCAUGCUCUUUGGCGGCGGCGGAGACGACGACGAGUAAGCGCCUGCCAGUAGGUAGAGUCUCAUCUCGGGGUGGCUGGCUGGUCUGGUUGGUUGGUACUAGAGUCUAAUGCCAGCAGUAAAUAAGUGACAACUUUGCGUUUAACCUGUUCCAAGUGUUGCAUUCCAAUCUUGGUCCAACUGGCAUCCAUCUCUCCCGAAGACAAAAAAAGUUGGAACUGAAUUUGACCUGGUCUGUGUCUUUUGAACCGAUAGUGAGACGCUAGCUGCAACUGCCUCGUACCGUGUAGAGUGUACUACUCCAAAAAGAUGAUGGUGUUCUGCUGAUAGUAGCUGAAAAUGAAAACAUAACUAUGAAUCUCCAAAAGGAUGAAAAAGAAAAAGAAAAUUGGCAAUUUGAAGAAAUUUCACAUGUUGUUUAGCUGAACCAUCCGUGCACUAACAAGUGACGAUAAACUCAUCCUAGGCACGAAUGUAGCUUGCUUACUACAUCGUGGUAUCUU